CAGCGGCCAGCCAGAGCGCCGCUGCCCACGUCCAGGCUCCUCGCGCGCGCGAGCUCAGCGCGAUGGUGACGUACAUGCGGGAGCACGUGCCGCGGUACCACGACUGGAUGCAGACCCGGCGCUGCUAGAGGCCACCGCAUCGGAAACCCUUUCAUAGGAGUUUCGAGGUCCACCGCUCAUAGACCCUCGGCCUUCUAAAGCACACUUUUAUAGUCUUGCAUAAGGAGUUGAUAGAGGGAAAGUUCGUGCAUGGCAACCCACGCAAACUAAGGAGCACAGGCAGGUUGAUGCAGACAUACACGCAGGGUUGAUAGCUCACAGCUACCACAUCAUUGCAGCUGAACUCAUCGGUGCCGCAGCCGGAGCCCGGAGCUGGUGGUGCUGUUGCAGAUGUAAGUUAAGUUUCAUGACGAACAGAAAGCAGGACAUUGAUGGAUUGCUGAAAGCCUGAAACUUACUGAAGCAUACAUGUUGAUAACCUAUGUGGGGAUAUGUCGAGAGUAUGUGUUUUUCUGAUCAAGUUUGAAGCAACUACCCUUUGGGGCUGGUACACUAGAGGAUCACCGUGAUGGCCUGCUGGUCCGGUAAGUGUUUAUCACCCAUUGGUUACCAAAGAGGGUCUUGAGAAUCAUGUUUUUUUAUUCUAAUAUAAUAUGUGUAUGAUUUAUUUUCAAAAUCUCCAAAGCAUAUAUACCAUUUUGGUUGUUUAAUUUGUGUUGUCCGAAAUAUCACCGUAGCGUUAGCACGAGCAAUAUACUAGUAAUAAUAAUGGCUCAGUACUUCUUUAUUCUUGAUCGAUGAUCUUAAAAACCCAAAAGUUUAUAAGAUUCUUCAUCACAUCAAAUCUUGUGGCAUA